AUACCGAUAACCUUAGCAACAUUUGCCAAACACUAGUGUACACUAGCGAAAAAUUAAAAUAAUUUCCGCUUAUCUCAUUACAUACAUACUGUUCUCGCAAAUGUAGAUAAUAAUUCAAGCAAAUAUGAUGUUUUGAAGACAGCCAAGCCUAUAAAGAAUCCAAUUUUUCCCAAAUAUGGGAAUAUUCUGUCACAUUAUUGAAGUCAAGUGCACUAGCAAGACAAAAAGUACGAAAUCAAAAAUGAAUCCCACGCAGAAGCGCUGCGGGCUUACCAUGCAUAUAAGAUACACAUGACACGAGGACACAUUAAAGCUGAUUUACCGAACACCGGUACAAAUUGAACAGSAGUUAAUUAAGUAAAUUUUAAAUUAAAAAUUGAACAGAUGACCUGAUUGGUUGCAAAACUCAACCAUUUCAAACAAAUCUCGGCAAAGUCGACAGUGCUGCAUGAUAUGUACAUUUCCUGAUCGCAUACUCUCUCGGUUUGAAGAUCAGAAGUACCUUGUAGAUGGUACUAUUUAACACCAUCAGGUUUCGAAGGGGAUAUUUGAAAUCAUAGUUUGAACUACGAAACAACACAAUUUUGCAUUUAUGUGUCUGAAUUACAUGGAUAGCCAAUCCAUAAAUAACCAUAUCCUAUGUACUCUGAUAAUCAGCAAACAAAUAAAAAUCUGAAAACAUGAGAAUUAAA